rnacentral:lncRNA from 1 species
UUGGCGUUACUCUGAUGCUUCUAGCUCCCAUUGGUGCACUAAGGGGCAUCAUUCUCCAAGCGAAAACCUACAAGUUCUUCUCUUAAUCUACUGCAGCCUGCAACGAGCAAUGUUUACACUGCAAAAACGGAUGAUUAUAACCAUCAUAAAUAAACAACCUUGUCACUAUAUCGUACGCGUCUCUGUUCAUGGUUUGGCUGACUAUUCAAGUUUGAUAUCUUUUGGAACAUUCAAGGCUUGACAAGGCAUCUCCCAUUACGAUUAGGAAAAUAACUAUGGAAACAUUGCUUUCAUCAUUCUACAAUUAGGUAUUAUUUCAGGAUGGGAAUAAGUAAUAGUGCUCUAAUUUGUACAUGGGCACCAGAAGUUAGUGGUUAGUUGUCCAGGUUUCAUUGUAUAACCAUCAUAUGUUGCUGAACUUAAUUUUAAGAAUUAAUUUGAUUUAAGUCCAAUAUUCAUCCCCUUAUAUUAAAUGCAAAAACUUGGUCUUCAACACCGACAUCAACCGCCGAUUCGAAGCUCCCCCGGUCCAGGCCUCACCUUGCCCAAACAACGGCCUUACCAAAAAGGAGGACAGCGCUGCCUACUGAAGUACUGAACCCUAUUGUUCGACUUCUGAAGUCUCUCUGAAAUUGUCGGAGUUACUUCACCUUACAUGAUCUUAAAACUUUCCCGAUGAGUAUUAAUUUGCUCAUCUUCUAAAUCUAAUGCAGUAUAGGGAGCAAAAUAUAGACCCGAGAAUGAAUUGACCAAUAAUUAAUCCGUUUGCCUCUUCCAAAUGAAUCUAUACAUAACUUGUUGACGUGAUCGAUCAAUAUUUAUAAAUUGAUGUGUGUCGAUUAAAAUUGCAAAUAGACCUUAAGAAGAAAAGAAAAACAAAGUAUUUAGUAACUAUAACCUAUGCGUAGAAGUGAGUUUGAUACUAAAUUUUGAUAAGUUCACGUCUAAAAUCAUUUUAAAACAAAUGAAGUGACCUAAAUCCUUAUAGUCUCAUCUUUCCUAUGUGAGUGUAUAUUUCCUAACAAAUUUUAUAAUUACCAACAUAAGAAAAAAAAAAAUCAUAGAUUUAUCCAGUACUAUUUGGUCUAGUGACAUCAGUCUUCCCUCGGUAAGUGGGAGGUCGUGAGUCGACUUGUUAUAGCAUUUUAAGAAAAAAAAAAAAAGGAAAAUGCCCAUUUAGUACUAAUUCAAACCCCUUAUUUCUUAUUCCAAUGAUAAUUUUUUGCAUUAGCCCAUUCCAAUAUAAGGUAACCCUUGUUAUGCCCAAAUGUACAAAUCUUUAUGCCUAAAUGCACAAAUCUUUACUAAAAUCUUAACAAACCAUAUUAUUUUAAGACUAUUUUGCCCCCACCUCUUCAACAUGAAAAGAUUUGGCCGGAACCUCGGACUCCGGUCACCGGAUUUUCCCCGACCGCCGGAUUCCGGUCACCGGAUUUUUCCCUGUAACCAGUUACUGACCCCCAAUAACCAGUUACUGACCAGUUAAUGACCCAUAAUAACCAGUUACUAACCCCCAGUAACUAGUUAUUGAUUAAUUACUGACACCCAGUAACCAGUUACUGACCAAUUACUGACCCCCAGUAACCAGUUAUUGACCCUUAAUAAUCGUGUUAUUAACCUCUAAUAAUCAGUUAUUGACCCCCAAUAAUCAACUUAAUCGAGUUACAGACCCCCAAUAAUCGAUUACUGACAGUCAAUAAUCGAUUAUUGACCCCAAUAUUAAAAGAGUACACCUCCCGAGAUAAAUGGCAAGCUGUCUGUGCACUUUGUCACUUGCUAUUUCAUCUAGCACCCUACAAUUAGUUGAUAUCAAAUACCACAACAAGUAUCUAUGUUUAAUGAAGAAAGCUCAUUUCGGCAAUGAACUCAGCAAUUUCAAACCUAAGAGUUUCUCAAUACCACAGCAACCAAACACAGAAUAAUUGAAAAUAGAAUAUCACAUUGACUAACCCAAUCGGAUUGAGAGCGACACUGGCGGCACGGUCUACAAGGUGAUUCACAAGCCGACGGGGCGGGUCUACGCGCUGAAAGUGAUAUACGGCACGCAUGAUGAGUCGGCGCGGCACCAGAUCUGCCGCGAGAUCGAAAUCCUCCGCGUGGUCUGGUGGUCGAAGAGGACGUCGGAGUGGAGGAGGCCGGGGCAGCAGACUGCGAGCUUGUGGAGGAAGGACAAGGCGGCGGCGGGAUUGUCGGCGGAGACAAGGGAGGGAGAGAGAGAGUUGAGCUCCGAUCUAGAGUUGGAGAGAGAGAGAGAGAGAGAGAGAGAGAGAGAGAGAGAGAGAGAGAGAGAGAGAGAGAGAGAGAGAGAGAGAGAGAGAGAGAGAGAGAGAGAGAGAGAGAGAGAGAGAGAGGUUUG